GCAGGUUACGCGGCGUCGCCUCCCGAAUCCCGAACCUUCUCGAGGUCGAGGCCCCUCUCCCCCUGCUCCAGGAGGUGCGCACGACUCUAAUCCCCUCACGCCCCACUGGCGUUUUCUUCCCUGCUUGCUCCGAUUUCGUUUCGAUGAAAACAAUGAGCCGACGCAACAGCCGUACCAUCUAUGUAGGCAAUCUCCCUGGGGACAUCCGUGAGAGGGAGGUUGAGGAUCUCUUCUACAAGUAUGGUCGUAUCUUGGAUAUCGACUUGAAAAUACCUCCAAGACCUCCUGGAUACGCUUUCGUUGAGUUUGAGGAUCCACGUGAUGCUGAUGAUGCAAUUUAUGGCCGUGAUGGGUAUAACUUUGAUGGCUACAGGUUGCGCGUUGAAUUAGCUCAUGGUGGUAGAGGUCAGUCUUAUUCUUAUGAUCGUUCAAGCAGCUAUAGCAGUGCACGCCGUGGAGGUGUUUCUAGGCGCUCUGAUUUCCGUGUUAUGGUCACUGGUUUACCUUCAUCUGCAUCGUGGCAAGAUCUGAAGGACCACAUGCGGCGCGCCGGCGAUGUCUGUUUCUCUGAUGUAUACCGUGAGGCUGGAGAAACUAUUGGAAUUGUGGACUAUACAAAUUAUGACGAUAUGAAAUACGCGAUUAGGAAGCUUGAUGACUCACAGUUCAGGAAUGCAUUUUCAAGGGCGUAUAUCAGGGUGAGGGAGUAUGAUGCCAGAUCACGAAGCAGAAGCCGUAGCCGGUCGUACUCUAGAAGCCCCAGUUACAGCAGGAGCAGGAGUCCAAAAUCUCUUUCUCGGUCACCCUCACCUGUGGAUGAAAGGGCCAGGGAGGAUGUCACAACUGAUAGGAGAGUGCCACAUUAACUUAAUUAUUUCCUACUAUCUGAUAUACUCUUGUCAAACAAACCAAAUGCCCGAGCUGAGAGACUGCCUUGUACAUACUUCUGCAAAUGCAGACCUGAAUUUUUGAGCAUGUGCUCUACCUAUCCUUAUAGAACAUGUUGAAGGUUUGGCUCUAUCACAAACUUCUAGAUAAAUCUUUCAAUGUUGUAGCAGCCUAGCAGGGAGUAUUGGAUCCUUCAGAAGCAUGCCAAAUUGAGAGGGUAUAGAAAGAUGUAUUACCAGAAUUUUACAUUCUUUCAAAACAAUAGUCUUGUCACCUUUUCCUGCCGUACCAGUCAUCUCCAUAGCAUGGCAGAACCUCUUCGUUUCUUUUUCCUCAUGGAAAAGCUUCAGUCCUCUCCUUAAUUAUCAACUUCAUACAUCUUUAACCUAGAGCUCCUUUUUUCUGAGUUUAACAACAAACUUUUCCUGCUUUAUAUUUUAAAGUAGAAAAAGGACUCUACAGAUAAAACUCACAUAUAUUUGCCUCAGAUUUUAAUAAACAAUAUUUCAAAAUAAAAUAUUUUUUCUGCUUUUUGUUAAAGCAAUAAGAAGAAACAAAGUUUGGUGCCAGAAUUUUUUUUUCGCGAACAGGUCGUAACCUGUUGGUGCCAGAAAUUUAACUUGAUAUACUUUGGAACGCCUCCUGAAAUCACCUGUGAUAUGUUUUUCUGUGUACCGAUUUCUCUUUAAGUUAGCAUAACUUUUGUGAUGUACUAAUCUCUCUUUAAAUAAGUGUGACUUGAAUUUGCUCUGUAGUUCAAUGAUUAAACAUACAGAGCUUGCUGGCUAACCUCCACUGUUCAAGGUUUGCUUUUGUUUUUCCUAGAUUUGGCCAUGCGGCGAUCUGGGGACUGCAUUGAUAUAAUAUUGGAUGUUUUGAGAAUUGGAGUGGAUGGUUUGGGACUUUGGAUAGUAGAGCUGGAUUGUGAUGCAUGUAUGACAAGUGGGCCACGACCAGUCCUAGGAGCAAGAUAGGACUGACAGUAAGAAAAUGUGAAGUGAAUCUUGUGGUGUUAUUAAAACAAAUGUCUACUAUUAAGUUCAAUGACUCCGUAUAAAUGAACCUUAAUUUAUAAGUUUGUGUUUUUGUCUAACAAUGCUGCCAUCUUAGUAAAAAUUCCUAUGGUGCCUUCUGCAUAUGGCUCUUUGUAGCCAUUUUCUUGUCAAGGUUCACACUAGCCAAAGAAGUUGACAUUAACAACAAAAUUCAAUAUACACCUUGCUUUGUUUGCUUAUUUGCAUUCCAGUUAUGACCUAAUUACCUUAUAGGCUUAAAAACUAUAUUAUUCUCGGAGUAUUAAGCAUAAACACCAGAAUGUUGCAGCUUCCCUCCUGUUUCAGUUCAUUCAUUCAUCUGCUGUGGAACGUUGCCUCUUUAUGCACAUCUCAAGUUGCCAGUUUAGCUUUAAUUGCAAUUUUGUAUCGCAGAUUAGAGUGCUACUAAUGCAUCAUUAAGUAAUGGAAUUUGUUUCUGGUACCUUUUGCAGAUCGCUAUCAAGAUCUCGAUCCCCAGUUUCUUCUCCUUCUCAUGCCAGAUCUGCGAGCAGAAGCACAUCCCGUUCUCGGUCUCCUGUGAGAUCCGAUUGAACUUGGGAGCCCUUGAAGCAGUGAGCAGCUCCAGGGAGAAGAAAGGAACUUGAGAACAUGCCGUGCCAAAAGAUACUUGAGAACACCAAUGGUCCAAGUGAUUAUGUUGUUGCCGCUGCUCCCCCACAUUUGGGAGGUCUCUUCUAUUUAGACGGAGCAUUUAAUAAUUAUUAUAUUACAUUAUAUUGCUAAAGAGAUACUUAUUAUGCGUAGCAUACCGGUGUAGACUGAACUUGUUUGUCCUCGGUUUUUCUUGGCUCCUGGAACUCGGUUUUAUCAUUUGUUUACAAGAGACUUGUUUUAUCAUUGUACCCAUAUAGCAAAACCUAUAGGUGUAGUAGGAGUAUGCUGUAUGCGUCUAUGUUCAAUUGGUCGCAUGUAAACCUGGAUACGCACAGUUGUUUGGUUCCAUGGUGUGUUGUUACAAUGUUCCAAAAUUUGAGAUUCUCUGGAACAAUGUAGCAUCGUUGUGCAACUUCGAUCAGAUUUGGCUGAA